AAGAUCAUUACCGAGUUGAUUCGAGCUCCGGCUCGACUCUCCCACCCAAUGUGUACCUACCUCUGUUGCUUUGGCGGGCCGCGGUCCUCCGCACCGGCGCCCUUCGGGGGGCUGGCCAGCGCCCGCCAGAGGACCAUAAAACUCCAGUCAGUGAACUUUGCAGUCUGAGAAACAAGUUAAUAAACUAAAACUUUCAACAACGGAUCUCUUGGUUCUGGCAUCGAUGAAGAACGCAGCGAAAUGCGAUAAGUAAUGUGAAUUGCAGAAUUCAGUGAAUCAUCGAAUCUUUGAACGCACAUUGCGCCCCUUGGUAUUCCGAGGGGCAUGCCUGUUCGAGCGUCAUUUCAACCCUCAAGCUCUGCUUGGUAUUGGGCUCCGUCCUCCACGGACGCGCCUUAAAGACCUCGGCGGUGGCGUCUUGCCUCAAGCGUAGUAGAAAACACCUCGCUUUGGAGCGCACGGCGUCGCCCGCCGGACGAACCUUUGAAUUAUUUCUCAAGGUUGACCUCGGAUC
rnacentral:rRNA from 1 species